rnacentral:rRNA from 1 species
GCCAGCAGCCGCGGUAAUACGUAGGUGGCAAGCGUUGUCCGGAAUUAUUGGGCGUAAAGCGCGCGCAGGCGGUUUCUUAAGUCUGAUGUGAAAGCCCACGGCUCAACCGUGGAGGGUCAUUGGAAACUGGGGAACUUGAGUGCAGAAGAGGAGAGUGGAAUUCCACGUGUAGCGGUGAAAUGCGUAGAGAUGUGGAGGAACACCAGUGGCGAAGGCGACUCUCUGGUCUGUAACUGACGCUGAGGCGCGAAAGCGUGGGGAGCGAACAGGAUUAGAUACCCUGGUAGUCCACGCCGUAAACGAUAAGUGCUAAGUGUUAGAGGGUUUCCGCCCUUUAGUGCUGCAGCAAACGCAUUAAGCACUCCGCCUGGGGAGUACGGUCGCAAGACUGAAACUCAAAGGAAUUGACGGGGGCCCGCACAAGCGGUGGAGCAUGUGGUUUAAUUCGAAGCAACGCGAAGAACCUUACCAGGUCUUGACAUCCCACUGCCCGGUGUAGAGAUAUACCUUUCCCUUCGGGGACAGUGGUGACAGGUGGUGCAUGGUUGUCGUCAGCUCGUGUCGUGAGAUGUUGGGUUAAGUCCCGCAACGAGCGCAACC